rnacentral:rRNA from 1 species
UACGUAGGGUGCAAGCGUUAAUCGGAAUUACUGGGCGUAAAGCGUGCGCAGGCGGUGAUGUAAGACAGGUGUGAAAUCCCCGGGCUUAACCUGGGAACUGCAUUUGUGACUGCAUCGCUGGAGUGCGGCAGAGGGGGAUGGAAUUCCGCGUGUAGCAGUGAAAUGCGUAGAGAUGCGGAGGAACACCGAUGGCGAAGGCAGCCCCCUGGGCUAGCACUGACGCUCAGGCACGAAAGCGUGGGGAGCAAACAGG